rnacentral:rRNA from 1 species
AGAGUUUGAUCAUGGCUCAGAAUCAACGCUGGCGGCGUGCCUAACACAUGCAAGUCGCACGAGAAAGGGUAGCAAUACCUGAGUACAGUGGCGCACGGGUGAGUAACACGUGAAUUAUCUACCUUCGAGUGGGGAAUAACUGGGAGAAAUCUCAGCUAAUACCGCAUAACACCUACGGGUCAAAGCAGCAAUGCGCUUGAAGAGGAGUUCGCGGCAGAUUAGUUAGUUGGCGGGGUAAUGGCCCACCAAGACGAUGAUCUGUAUCCGGCCUGAGAGGGCGCACGGACACACUGGAACUGAAACACGGUCCAGACUCCUACGGGAGGCAGCAGUGGGGAAUUUUGCGCAAUGGGGGAAACCCUGACGCAGCAACGCCGCGUGGAGGAUGAAAUCCCUUGGGAUGUAAACUCCUUUCGAUCGGGACGAUUAUGACGGUACCGGAAGAAGAAGCCCCGGCUAACUUCGUGCCAGCAGCCGCGGUAAUACGAGGGGGGCAAGCGUUGUUCGGAAUUAUUGGGCGUAAAGGGCGCGUAGGCGGUUUGACAAGUCUGAUGUGAAAUCUCUGGGCUCAACCCAGAGUCUGCAUUAGAAACUGUCGGGCUUGAGUAUGGGAGAGGUGAGUGGAAUUUCCGGUGUAGCGGUGAAAUGCGUAGAUAUCGGAAGGAACACCUGUGGCGAAAGCGGCUCACUGGACCAUAACUGACGCUGAGGCGCGAAAGCUAGGGGAGCAAACAGGAUUAGAUACCCUAGUAGUCC